AGAGCCCGUCAAUCACCAGCCUUAGCCACUGCAUUCAUUUCCAGCGUAGACGUUCUUGCAUCAUGUCUAGCUUCCACCCAGAGACCGUUCAGCCCGCCACUGAGACGAAGCCCGGCUCAGUAAGUAGAAGCUUCUAGCUUCUACUAAGUUGUGAAGCAGAUUCUCCAGGGUGGGAGGAACCUUCCAGCCGGUUGGUAAAGGAGGUGAGAGCCGGAGCUGACGUCAGAGCAACGAGAUAUCCUUCAGUCUCUCGUGCAGGGACCUAUGGGGACACCGGAGGAGCAGUCCUGCUGGCAGUGAGUGCUGGCCUGUUACAUUACCAGGGGGUACUGUGCAUGCUGCUCUGCUUCUGUCAGUGCCAAACAAGGCAUUGAGGAGCAUUUAUUUACAGGCGCGUCACUGGCGGACUGAAGAAUGUGCAGACAUCACAGGAUGAGGGGUCCAGAAAAAACAGGCGAGCGCUUUUUUGUUCAGCAGCCGCUGACAACUUCACAACAACAGGUCUGGGUUCCAGAGAACCACAGUUCACUUUAAAGCAAUAGUUUGGAAGAAAGUCAAUGUAAACCAGCCAAGACAUGUUUUGUGUUCAAUGUUUGGUCCAAAGAAAUUACAGCACUAAAUCAAUUUGAGAUUACUUAACAGUGUGAGGUAAGCGUGUAGUGAUGUCACUGCAGUAAAGGAUGUUAUGGCAAAAGAAACCAUCUUGAAUCAUCUUAACAUAUCUAAUAUGUCUCACUACAAGAUUUUUGUAAAAAUAUUCAAUCUAUUUCUACAUGAUUUUUGAUGAGUUUUCAGUCAUUUAUCUACUGAAACGAUCUCAUUCCACCCAGCAAAUUUUAUUUUUCAAUAGAAUGAUCAUUUCACUUGCUAAAAUGAUUUAUAACAAGCAAAAUGUCUUGAAAUAGGUUGAACAAUCCUAUAAUAUUUUUAAAAGAAUUGCUUGUUUUUGCAGUACCACAAUACCAACCGGUGGCUAUAAGCCUUCAUGGCCUCAUACAAUACAAAGCUACAAGGUACAACAGCCUCAUAGCUCCAGUGCAAAACUUUAGAAGCAAACUUGUCUUGGUUGAUUGACUAUAUCUGGAAUAAGGGGGAGUUGUUUAGAAAAACUAAAACAUGUUUUGCAUCUGUGGUAGUUUUCCUAUCAUUUUAUUCUCUUGGUAGUUGUUUUUUCUUCAACUACAGGCACUUUCAGGUCCUCAUGAUGGAUUAUAAUAAAUACAGUUAUUUAUGAAAUCAGGUUGGAGAUUUUAUACCAUGCUUCUAUUGGUUAUUUUUACUACUUUCUAAAUGUAUUUUUACAAAGAUUUUCAUUACAUAAUAUUAUGUCAGUUGUGUUUUUAUUUGGUCUACUGAAGCAAAACAUUUUGAUGUCCCUAAACAUUUUUAUUCUAAAGCUCUCUUUGUGGUGAUGUCAAGUGCACCGCAACCUACAAUUUUGCCAUUGCAUUUAUUUUUGGUUACCAGUGAAAUGACAGUCUCAAAGAGUGUCAAAAAUAAAGAAACAUGAGGUAAAAAAUGAGAACAAAUAUUUUUGUCAGACCAUUUUCAAUAAUGCUGUCGAAUAGUAAUUUUAAGGACAUACAUCAUACUACUACGUACAUCAUACAUACAUCAUAUUACUAGCUAUAAACUAGCCUUAGCCUAUUAGAGUAUUUAGACAUAUUAGACCCAAUUUAUAUUUGUUGCAUAAAGUUGAAAAAAAAAGUAGAAUUACUAAAUCAGGAGGAAAAAUGUGUGUGUGUGUGUGUGUGUGUGUGUGUGUGUGUGUGUGUGUGUGUGUGUGUGUGUGUCACAUGCCCAGACUCAAAAAGAAUGACUGACUCAUAGACUCAUCCUUUGGGGAAGGGGUCCCAAGCACAUGUUACAAAAUGUUCUUCUACAUUUUCACCACAGAGGUCUCCAAAUACCCAAAUGUUACAUAGUGCAGCUUUAAAUACUAAGUUAUAAAAAGUGCUGUAAAAUAACAUCAUUUUUUCCAUGAUCCGAUGAAGAAAAAAAAAGACAUUCACUUCCACCAUUUUAUUCAUUUCCACUACACAGUAAUUUCCAUAACAUCCUGUCAUUUCCACACCUGUUCACACUUUUUAGGAAAAAUAAUAUCAAAAAAAUAGAUAAUAUUUAAACUUUUUCUGAUGUGGUCAUUAAAAAUAUUGUCACAUUAAAACCAUUUCUUUGUUUUACUAAAAGAGUGUGUUAUGUACUUUAAGCAGCUGCUAGUACUGUGUGUCUCUUGUUGAGUGUCUUUUCAUGCCAGUAGGUCUUCACUAUGCCUAGUCCGUUUGUGAGAGGCUUAUUUAUGUAUUCAGACUAUGUGGGAGCCAGAGUGGGUUGUGCUAGAGUGAGUCAGUGUGUGUGUUUUUGUGCGAAUGCGGUGGCCCAUGCUGAUGUGAGGCGUUGAGACACAAAGCGGGGUUCUGUAGGGAUUAGGUGUGGAAUAAUCCCAUGGAUUAGUGCUAUUGAGUUACGCGGCUAUGAGGGGUCUGCCCCACUAUUGUGUUUGGGCUGGCUAUGUGGCCUGGCGAGGCCGGGUGUCAUGUGGCUCUUGUUUUCAGGACGGAAGGCACGUGUUGACCUUCCAACAAGCCCUCCAACUGAUACCGAUGUCAAUACCUAUCACAACCACUCAAUACCAGAAGUCAGCAAUCUCUACUACAGCAACUGCUGCACCAUUAAUUAAACUAAGACCUCAUGCUAAUGUGUCAGUGUGUCGAAAUUUCCCUUAAAACUUAAUUAGAAAAUAUCAAAAAUGACUCAUACACUCUUCUAGAUUGACAGUGGUUUCCAACCCAACUUCAGCUCAGGAAGGUUGUGUUAAGCAGAGAAAACACCAGCCAAACUGCUGUAGAGCCAGUAUUAGGAACCACUGAGCUAAACAUAUCCCAUUUAGUGAAUUUACCUUCUGAGGAGAGAUUUGGCCU